rnacentral:rRNA from 1 species
UACAGAGGGUGCGAGCGUUGUCCGGAAUCACUGGGCGUAAAGGGCGCGUAGGUGGCGCUGCAAGUCGGUGGUGAAAGCUCGUCGCUUAACGACGAGUCGGCCAUCGAAACUGCAGGGCUCGAGCACUGUAGGGGCAGAUGGAAUUCCGGGUGUAGCGGUGGAAUGCGUAGAGAUCCGGAAGAACACCAGUGGCGAAGGCGGUCUGCUGGGCAGUAGCUGACACUGAGGCGCGACAGCGUGGGGAGCAAACAGG